GAACGAAAAUUAACCAAGACCCAGGAAACAAAUAUUAACAAAGUGUACAGAGCAAGAGAGAAAAGCAGUAGCAAAGCCCUUAAGAAGAUAAACUCUAUGAGGAUUCUGAAGACGUCCCUUCCACCAUUCUUCGCGAGUUCUCGCUGCUGCAUAUGCUCUCUAGCGAUCCCCAAAUCGUCAAAGGCUGAUGGAUAUGAAACAACAAGAGACUAAUAAGACGGGGAAUUCGGUUUUGUACUUGGUGUUUGAGUACAUGGACACUGAUCUGAACAAGUUCAUUUGGUCUUUUCGUCAAACAGGAGAGAAACAUUCCUCCGCCCACUGUUAAGGUAUUUUCAAUUUGAUUGGUUUUUAUGAUAUGGGUGUUGUUUGAAAUGUUUUUGUAAUUGGUUUUUUAGGGUUUUGAAUUUGUUUGUUUUUUGAUUGAAAUGUUUUCUGAUGGUUUUUUUGAUUAUUGACGUAGAGCUUGAUGUAUCAACUUUGUAAAGGGGUUGCCUUCUGCCACGGUCAUAGUGUAUUGGACAAGUGUAACUAAUAAUUGUUAUUGCCAUUCCCUUGAUGUUUUAUUCUGUAUUGUUUAAUUUUUGGGAUUAUGUGCUUAUGAUUAUUGAUGUAUGUAAUUUAGAGACUUGAAGCCUCAUAAUCUUUUGAUGGACCCUGUAGAAAGGGCUGGCAGUGGCUUGAAACUUAUUGGGUUUGCCAGAGCAGGAUCUAUUGAGAGUGGUGAAAAGACCAAUGACAUGCAUCUCCUGCCUAAUGAGCACGGUUGUCAAGCAAUUACCCACUGACGAAUGUGGAUACCCUAGGCCAGAGUACAUUGCUGCAAGCACCGGGCUAUGAUGACAUUCCCAAGGAGAUACAAGCUGGUGCUGAUGUUAAGAAGGUAACAUCUAAUUUUCCCAGUUUCUUUCUCAGCACAGUCUGAGAACUCUAGCAGAUGGAUACAUUUCUUGUUGUUUCUUGUCAGAUGUGUUAUUUAUAUUUGCUUUUUCUUAUCACUGGUAUCACGUGGCCCAAGCUUUAAAUCAUCUAGCCUUAAUCUUGUAGUCUUACCUUGAUAAUUUUCGACCCUGUCUCACAUUUUAUAAUCUAUGCUAAGCUUUCCUUUCUCAUAAAAGUAAUUGUUCCAAGGCCUGGUUUACUAGAAGCUGUUGAUAUCCAGUCUUGUUGCAAAGGAUCCAGCAAUGAAGGUUAAUUGGAACUUAGAUGGACCAGCUGAAGGUGCUGAUGGCCUGCUAUAAGAAGGAUGAUCACAUGCUAUUAAAGGUCGAUGCGAAGUAGGAGUAUCAUUUUGAAACUAGCUAAGGGUUGCUUGCUAAUGUUGGAUGAUAGUUAAACUAUUCUUCUAGAAGCAGGUGUAGUUAAGUUAAGGGUGGAGGGUAAUGCUGUUGUAAAUUGUUUGGCUUGGUACUGACUAGUUUUUAUUUGAAUGGUUGUGUAAACAGAUUUGUAUUUAACAUUAUGGGCAAUCCAAUUUACAAGCAUUUUCUGUCAUUUUUAUUAGAAAA